UUGGAGGCAGCAGUGAGGAAUAUUGGACAAUGGGCGCAAGCCUGAUCCAGCCAUGCCGCGUGCAGGAAGAAGCAUCUAUGGUGUGUAAACUGCUUUUGUACGGGAAGAAACACUCCUUCGUGAAGGAGCUUGACGGUACCGUAAGAAUAAGGAUCGGCUAACUCCGUGCCAGCAGCCGCGGUAAUACGGAGGAUCCAAGCGUUAUCCGGAAUCAUUGGGUUUAAAGGGUCCGUAGGCGGUUUGGUAAGUCAGUGGUGAAAGCCCGCAGCUCAACUGUGGAACGGCCAUUGAUACUGCCAGACUUGAAUUACAAGGAAGUAACUAGAAUAUGUAGUGUAGCGGUGAAAUGCUUAGAUAUUACAUGGAAUACCAAUUGCGAAGGCAGGUUACUACUUGUGGAUUGACGCUGAUGGACGAAAGCGUGGGGAGCGAACAGGAUUAGAUACCCUUGUAGUCG
rnacentral:rRNA from 1 species